rnacentral:rRNA from 1 species
CCUACGGGAGGCAGCAGUGGGGAAUAUUGCACAAUGGGGGAAACCCUGAUGCAGCGACGCCGCGUGGGUGAAGAAGUAUCUCGGUACGUAAAGCUCUAUCAGCAGGGAAGAAAAUGACGGUACCUGACUAAGAAGCCGCGGCUAAGUACGUGCCAGCAGCCGCGGUAAUACGUAGGGGGCAAGCGUUAUCCGGAUUUACUGGGUGUAAAGGGAGCGUAGACGGCAGCACAAGUCUGGAGUGAAAUCCCGGGGCUUAACCCCGGACCUGCCUUGGAAACUGUGCGGCUGGAGUGCAGGAGGGGUAAGCGGAAUUCCUAGUGUAGCGGUGAAAUGCGUAGAUAUUAGGAGGAACACCGGUGGCGAAGGCGGCUUACUGGACUGUAACUGACGUUGAGGCUCGAAAGCGUGGGGAGCAAACAGGAUUAGAUACCCGGGUAGUC